GGAGUGGAGCCUGCGGCCGUUCUUAGUUCGUGGAGUGAUUUGUCUGGUUAAUUCCGAAAACGAACGAGACUCAAAUAUAUUAAAUAGAUACUUUCAGGAUCAUGGUGUAGAAGCUUUUAUAGCCUUCAUCUGCGACCGCAGUAAAAUGCGUUAGUGGUUGAAUGUGUUUAUAGAAGUGGAGCCGUACCUGUUGGUUUGUCCCGUUAUAAGGACACUAGCUUCUUAAAUGGACAAAUUGCGUCUAGCAAUAAUGAGAUUGAGCAAUAACAGGUCUGUGAUGCCCUUGAAUGUUCUGGAGUGCACGCGUGCUACAAUGAAAGUAUCAACGUGUCUUUCCUAGACCGAGAGGUCCGGGUAAACCGCUGAACCACUUCCAUGCUCGGGAUUGUGACUUUUAAAUUUUUACAUGAUC
rnacentral:rRNA from 1 species